GAUGAACGCUGGCGGCGUGCUUAACACAUGCAAGUCGAACGAAGCACUUUAUUUGAUUUCCUUCGGGACUGAUUAUUUUGUGACUGAGUGGCGGACGGGUGAGUAACGCGUGGGUAACCUGCCUUGUACAGGGGGAUAACAGUUGGGAACGGCUGCUAAUACCGCAUAAGCGCACAGCAUCGCAUGAUGCAGUGUGAAAAACUCCGGUGGUAUAAGAUGGACCCGCGUUGGAUUAGCUAGUUGGUGAGGUAACGGCCCACCAAGGCGACGAUCCAUAGCCGACCUGAGAGGGUGACCGGCCACAUUGGGACUGAGACACGGCCCAAACUCCUACGGGAGGCAGCAGUGGGGAAUAUUGCACAAUGGGCGAAAGCCUGAUGCAGCGACGCCGCGUGAGCGAAGAAGUAUUUCGGUAUGUAAAGCUCUAUCAGCAGGGAAGAUAAUGACGGUACCUGACUAAGAAGCACCGGCUAAAUACGUG
rnacentral:rRNA from 1 species